rnacentral:rRNA from 1 species
GACGAACGCUGGCGGCGUGCGUAACACAUGCAAGUCGAACGGUAAGGCCCUUCGGGGUACACGAGUGGCGAACGGGUGAGUAACACGUGGGUGAUCUGCCCUGCACUUCGGGAUAAGCCUGGGAAACUGGGUCUAAUACCGGAUAGGACCACUGCCUGCAUGGGUGGUGGUGGAAAGCUUUUGCGGUGUGGGAUGGGCCCGCGGCCUAUCAGCUUGUUGGUGGGGUGAUGGCCUACCAAGGCGACGACGGGUAGCCGGCCUGAGAGGGUAACCGGCCACACUGGGACAGAGAUAAGGCCAGACUCCUACGGGAGGCAGCGGUGGGGAAUAUUGCACAAUGGGCGCAAGCCUGAUGCAGCGACGCCGCGUGAGGGAUGACGGCCUUCGGGUUGUAAGCCUCUUUCAGCACCGACGAAGCGCAAGUGACGGUAGGUGCAGAAGAAGGACCGGCCAACUACGUGCCAGCAGCCGCGGUAA